UACGGAGGGGACUAGAGUUGUUCGGAAUUACUGGGCGUAAAGGGCACGUAGGCGGAUUUGUAAGUCAGGGGUGAAAUCCCGGGGCUCAACCUCGGAACUGCCUUUGAUACUGCAAAUCUCGAGUCCGGAAGAGGUGAGUGGAAUUCCUAGUGUAGAGGUGAAAUUCGUAGAUAUUAGGAAGAACACCAGUGGCGAAGGCGGCUCACUGGUCCGGUACUGACGCUGAGGUGCGAAAGCGUGGGGAGCAAACAGG
rnacentral:rRNA from 1 species